AAGUCAUAGUUAAUAGAUGGUGGAGCUAGGACUUAAACUGAAGAUUCUCCAACUUCAAAGCCCAUGACCUUUCCACAAAUCACAUGUUUCCUCCAAGGCCUGCACCUGGAAGGUUCUGGGUUGUUUAACUGCUCUGCACUGCACUAAAUAGGACUGCAAGAUCAGCUUGCAGCUGGGGCCUGGCCAUCUUCACAGCCCAUCCAUGAAAUCCUAGACAGCCGGCAUGCAUGGAGACAAAGCUCAGAUCCUCUUCCUGGCAGGAGGCUGUCUUCUGGCACAUGCGGCCGGCACUCCACUUCCUGGGAUCAGAUGAAGCCCUCAGCCCUCUCAAGUUCAUGGGUUUGUCCCUGAUGUCCAGCCCAGAAACUGUCUGCUUCCAGGAUCCCUAGAGAAUGAGACAUUAUUGGCUUCUGGGAUGUUUUUCUGGUCACGGAGCCCUCAAGGUGAAAGGUCUCUUGGAUGGAAGGGAACAGGCCAAGUUUAUCCAGCCCUGCAAGGCGUCAGGCGGCCCGGAGCCACAUUCCGUUAGGAUCCAUGGAACAGCUGAGGCUGCUUCUCCUCAGCAUGAUACCUGCCCUCCGAGGACAGCGCUCUUCCUGCCCUGCUGUGCAGCUGACAUAAGGCAGAAAUCCCACUGCAGAGCUCCCUUCAGGCUGGACCCUGUGCACAGGCCCUUGGAAACUCCCUCUUCUCUCUCUGCCUCCCCCUUCGGCGUAUGGGGACAAGAGGAACUUGCGAAAGGGUAUGUGCUCUUGUCCUGCAAUGUCUCGUAGGAAUACAGGAGAGAGAAGAAGGGAGAAGAGUAUUUCCAUGCAUGUGAAUACCCAUUAUGUGCCAGCCAUUUGACAUGCAUCAUCCCAUUCAAUCAUCACUCAUCCUGUGGUAUGAAAGAGCUGCAGACUUGGGAUCAGAGCUGCUGUCUGUGGAUCCCUGCGCACCCAACCAAUUAUCUGUAUCACCUUAAGCAAGUUGCUUCACCUCUCUAAGUUUCUGUUUCUCAUCUAUAAAAUGAAGAUAGUAACCUUUCUCAGGGACCCAGAGGAGUGAGAAAACGAGGAAAGGGUGGGAGAAGAGUUGAAUACAUCAAUGUAACAGCAGCAGCUUUUUCCGAAUGAAUGACUACCCAACAAAGAUCAUUUCGUGAGCUUCUACUAGCAGCCAGCAACAAUCCGGAUUCCUGAACAUAACUAUUACCUGCUCUGUUGGUUCACUGUUUUCAGUUUUGCCUUUGAGUCCUUGAUCAGCUAGAGGCAUGGCAAUUGUUGGUAACUGGUAGACACUUUUCUGUUAAAAAGAGCCAGGCUGUCUUGGUUACUCUGGGCCAUGGCUACCACACAUUGAUUGAUAUUCUAUUUCAAAACUGCCUGUAAGUCUUCUAUUUUAUUUCUAUGCCUAUCUUACAUCAAUACAACACAAAAAGUGCUGAUGACUUAUUUUGCUGUCAUCCACUGGAGUUAGUUUAAAAUAAACACACUUUAGGGCUGUUAAACUAGACAUUAGACACUAUCUAGAAUUAGAUUAUGCCAUCACAUAUUUGUUUUUAAGUGACUUUCACAUGAUUCUUUAGUUGUUUCCUGUUAAAUUAUCAUUUUUCUUUAGCUAUUACCUGUCUACAUUUUUUUCCUAUAACAUAAUGCCUAGGAUAAAACUAUACAUGUUUCACAAAUGCCUAGGGUGCCUAACUGGUUUUCUUGGCUUCACUGGAGAUGGCUGGUAAUUAUAGAUCUGCUUUGGUUAUGUAACUGUAUUCCUAUU